AUUUGAAACUAAAAAGUGCACAGCUAAUUGUUAAUUUUGAAUCCUUGGGUGAGGGAGCUGUCAAUAAAAGCUAGUUUAUGGACUAUAAACUAUCUUCAUCAAAUACUAAUAUUGCUAUGCUGUAACUUAAAUGAGCUAACGUUGUCUCAAAAGCUGCAUGCUAAACACAGCCUAAAAAAAUUAAGAUGAAGCUUCCGACCUUUCUAUAUCUCAUAAAGAGACUUAUCGAAAUUUUUAUAGAGAAUUCGAUUCAAAAUUUUAUAAGCUGUUAACAAUGCCUCCCCUCACAAAUUAUUAGGUAGGCC
rnacentral:lncRNA from 1 species